GACAGAGGGUGCAAACGUUGCUCGGAAUCACUGGGCGUAAAGGGCGUGUAGGCGGGAAGGAAAGUCGGGCGUGAAAUCCCUGGGCUCAACCCAGGAACUGCACUCGAAACUUCUUUUCUUGAGUGCCGGAGAGGAAAGCGGAAUUCCUGGUGUAGAGGUGAAAUUCGUAGAUAUCAGGAGGAACACCAGUGGCGAAGGCGGCAUUCUGGACCGACACUGACGGCUGAG
rnacentral:rRNA from 1 species